CAGCCGCCGCGGUAAAACAGAGGGUGCAAGCGUUAAUCGGAAUUACUGGGCGUAAAGCGCGCGUAGGUGGUUUGUUAAGUUGGAUGUGAAAGCCCCGGGCUCAACCUGGGAACUGCAUCCAAAACUGGCAAGCUAGAGUACGGUAGAGGGUGUUGGAAUUUCCUGUGUAGCGGUGAAAUGCGUAGAUAUAGGAAGGAACACCAGUGGCGAAGGCGACCACCUGGACUGAUACUGACACUGAGGUGCGAAAGCGUGGGGAGCAAACAGGAUUAGAGACCCCGGUAGUCCCUGUCUCUUAUAC
rnacentral:rRNA from 1 species